rnacentral:rRNA from 1 species
UACGUAGGGUGCAAGCGUUGUCCGGAAUUAUUGGGCGUAAAGCGCGCGCAGGCGGUCCUUUAAGUCUGAUGUGAAAGCCCACGGCUCAACCGUGGAGGGUCAUUGGAAACUGGGGGACUUGAGUGCAGAAGAGGAGAGCGGAAUUCCACGUGUAGCGGUGAAAUGCGUAGAGAUGUGGAGGAACACCAGUGGCGAAGGCGGCUCUCUGGUCUGUAACUGACGCUGAGGCGCGAAAGCGUGGGGAGCAAACAGG